GUUGACCGCUGGCGGCGUGCUUAACACAUGCAAGUCGACCGCAAAGCCGGGGUGCGUCCUGCCGCGACGUGCGCACCGGGCGGGUAAGUAACAGGAAGCUCCCCUACCUUGGGGAUUGGCCUGCCAAAGGCAGAAUGAAACCGCUAACGGACAGUAGGUUGAAACGGGGGGACCAAAAGCCACCGCCGGUUUGGACGGCCCGUUGUCGUAUUAGCUAGUUGGUGGGGUAAGGGCUUACCAAGGCGACGAUCCGUAGCUGGUCUGAGAGGCCGACCAGCCACACUGGGACUGAGACACGGUCCAGACUCCUACGGGAGGCAGCAGUGGGGAAUUUUGGACAAUGGGGGCAAGCCUGAUCCAGCAAUGCCGCGUGAGGGAAGAAGGCCUUCGGGUUGUAAACCGCUUUUGUUCGGGAAGAAAUCCUCUGGGCUAAUACCCCGGGGGGAUGACGGUACCGGAAGAAUAAGCAACGGCUAACUACGUG
rnacentral:rRNA from 1 species